CAUAUACUCCCUCCGUCCGAAAAAACUUGUCCUCAAAUGGAUGUAUCUAGCACCAUGUUAGUGCUAGAUACAUCCAUUUGAGGGACAAGCUUGGGACAAGCUUUUUCGGACGAAGGGAGUAUGUU
rfam:Triticum aestivum genome assembly, contig: Triticum_aestivum_CS42_TGACv1_scaffold_049609_1BS